UGAGCUGUUGGAUUCGGGGCCGUAGCACUGUCUGAGAGGUUUCCAUUUCUCACAGUGAACCGGUCUCUUUUUCAGCUGCUUC
rnacentral:pre_miRNA from 1 species